rnacentral:tRNA from 1 species
AUUUAUAUGUCAGAAUUAAUGAAAUGAACUUAAAAUUCAUUUAUAAGAAAUU